rnacentral:rRNA from 1 species
CCUACGGGUGGCAGCAGUGGGGAAUAUUGGGCAAUGGAGGAAACUCUGACCCAGCAAUGCCGCGUGAAUGAAGAAGGUCUUCGGAUUGUAAAGUUCUUUAGUCAGGGAAGAAGUCAAUGACGGUACCUGAAUACUAAGCUUCGGCUAACUACGUGCCAGCAGCCGCGGUUAUACGUAGGGAGCAAGCGUUGUUCGGAGUGACGGGGCGUAAAGGGUGCGUAGGCGGUUGUACAAGUUAGAAGUGAAAUACCCAGGGCUUAAAUCUGGUGCUUCUUCUAAAACUGUAUGACUUGAGUGCAGUAGAGGUUAGUGGAAUUCGUAGUGUAGCGGUGGAAUGCGUAGAUAUUAGGAGGAACACCAGAGGCGAAGGCGGCUAACUGGACUGCAACUGACGCUGAGGCACGAAAGUGUGGGGAGCAAACAGGAUUAGAUACCCCUGUAGUC